rnacentral:misc_RNA from 1 species
GAAAUGCGAUAAGUAAUGUGAAUUGCAGAAUUCAGUGAAGCAUCGAAUCUUUGAACGCAUCUUGCGCUCCUUGGUAUUCCUUGGAGCAUGCCUGUUUGAGUAUCAUGAAAUCUUCAAAGUAAAUCUUUUGUUAACUCAAUUGGUUUCUACUUUGGUAUUGGAGGUCUUUGCAGCUUCACACCUGCUCCUCUUUGUUCAUUAGCUGGAUCUCAGUGUUAUGCUUGGUUCCACUCGGCGUGAUAAGUUAUCUAUCGCUGAGGACACUGUAAAAGGUGGCCAAGGUAAAUGCAGAUGAACCGCUUCUAAUAGUCCAUUGACUUGGACAAUACUUUUAUGAUCUGAUCUCAAAUCAGGUAGGACUACCCGCUGAACUUAAGC